ACUCCUACGGGAGGCAGCAGUGGGGAAUAUUGCACAAUGGGCGCAAGCCUGAUGCAGCGACGCCGCGUGGGGGAUGACGGCCUUCGGGUUGUAAACCUCUUUCAGUGGGGACGAAGCGCAAGUGACGGUACCUACAGAAGAAGGACCGGCCAACUACGUGCCAGCAGCCGCGGUAAU
rnacentral:rRNA from 1 species